GACGAACGCUGGCGGCGUGCUUAACACAUGCAAGUCGAACGGAAAGGCCCUGCUUUUGUGGGGUGCUCGAGUGGCGAACGGGUGAGUAACACGUGAGUCACCUGCCCUUGACUUUGGGAUAACUUCAGGAAACUGGGGCUAAUACCGGAUAGGAGCUCCUGCUGCAUGGUGGGGGUUGGAACGUUUCGGCGGUUGGGGAUGGACUCGCGGCUUAUCAGCUUGUUGGUGGGGUAGUGGCUUACCAAGGCUUUGACGGGUAGCCGGCCUGAGAGGGUGACCGGCCACAUUGGGACUGAGGUACGGCCCAGACUCCUACGGGAGACAGCAGUGGGGAAUAUUGCACAAUGGGCGGAAGCCUGAGGCAGCAACGCCGCGUGCGGGAAGACGGCCUUCGGGUUGUAAACCGCUUUCGCCUGUGACGAAGCGUGAGUGACGGUAAUGGGUAAAGAAGCACCGGCUAACUACGUG
rnacentral:rRNA from 1 species